CAGGUGCACCCGUCUGGACGCUGAGUUUGGGCCCAGUGAUGCAUGCAGGACCGUAGAGGCGCCCGGUUCCGCUGGGGACCUGGGCGCUGGGGCCGCAGAAGCGCAGCGGCGCCACCUAGCGUCCAGCCGGCGCCGGCACCGGGCAAGCGCCUCGCUUUCUCCAAAAAGGAGCAAAGACGUGGAGCCCAGAAGGAACCCGUCUUUGGUGCCUGGAAAGCGUCGGCGGCGAAAGGAGGGCGAGAAGAAGCGCAGGGACAGCCUGAGCCCCGCUUCUAUUUCAAGUUGACACAUAUCCUUGCUUUCGUAGAUACCAAAACCCCAGGUGGAGAAAUCAACUACACGAUGAUCAGACUGUACCCAGGACUUGAACUUCCACAAUUCCGAGAAUUGACUGCAAAGAAAUGGGAACAAGUGCACCCCGGAACUGGAGAUUAACUAACUGUCCUGAAACAACCAAGAUGGUGUGAGGCAGACCACUGAUGACCAACUGAAGUUGCUCAGUCGUGUCCGACUCUUGCGACCGCAUGGACCGCAGCCUGCCAGGCUCCUCUGCCCUUGGGAUUCUCCAGGCAAGAAUACUGGAGUGGGUUGCCAUUUCCUUCUCCAGAAGAUUAACUGUCUUAAAACAACCAAGGUGAUGCUAGUCAGACCACUGAUGACCAAUCUGAAGAUGACUGUUAGAGAUGACUGUGCUGUUUCUGGAUGUUGCCCACCUCCGACUCUGCCUGUAAACUUUCUCAC
ensembl:lncRNA